AUUGAACGCUGGCGGCGUGCUUAACACAUGCAAGUCGUGCGGUAACAGGCGUAGCAAUACGUGCUGACGAGCGGCGAACGGGUGCGUAAUACAUGGGAAUCUGCCCUUUAGUGGGGAAUAACCCGGCGAAAGCCGGGCUAAUGCCGCAUAAGAUCUUCGGAUGAAAGCGGGGGAUCGUAAGACCUCGCGCUGAUGGAUGAGCCCAUGUCGGAUUAGCAGUUGGUGAGGUAACGGCUCACCAAGGCGACGAUCCGUAGCUGGUCUGAGAGGACGGCCAGCCACACUGGGACUGAGACACGGCCCAGACUCCUACGGGAGGCAGCAGUGGGGAAUAUUGGACAAUGGGCGAAAGCCUGAUCCAGCGACGCCGCGUGUGUGAAGAA
rnacentral:rRNA from 1 species